UAUCUUUUAGUUUGUAUUUUUUAUUUUAUUUUUUGUAAAAUAUUUUAAUUUUUUUUUUUUUUAAGGGAAGGUUAAAAAUUUGAUUUUUGAACUGGAUUAGUCCCCAGGUAAACAAAAUUUAUUAAUUCGGGAGUAAAGUUUUUUUUAAACCGAAAAAAUAUUGACUGAUCUUGGAUUUUUUUUUGGAACAUGUGUUGGAUGGAGAGCCCUCCUUUAUAGUUAAUUUUAUGGGCUCAUGUAUGAUUGUUUAGUUUUUAUUUUUUGGGGAAGGCUUUAUAUUUUUUUUAUUAAAAACAGAUAUAUACUUGGCUUAUGAGUUAUUUUUACAUGUGUUACUAUUAUAAAUUUUUUUUGGAGUAAUUUUUGGUUUUUUUUUGAAGUUGGAA
rnacentral:rRNA from 1 species